UGUGAAUUGGUCAAGCUAUUUAAAUGCAUUAGACAAAACAGAGUCUAUGGCUAAGUAGGUAGACUACAGUAAGUCAUCUUGUAACAUCGUAGGUAGACUACAGUAAGUCAACUUGUAACAUCGUAGGUAGACUACAGUAAGUCAACUUGUAACAUAGUUGGUAGACUACAGUAAGUCAUCUUGUAACAUCGUUGGUAGACUACAGUAAGUCAUCUUUCGAGUGACAGAGGGCUUUGCAAAGGAACUUUGUUGACAUUGUUGUGGAACUGGAAAAACAACGCCCAGAACAUAAAAUAACUUUAUUAACCAGUUCCCAUACUUUUAAAAUAUUGGUUCUGUUUACGGAACAGUAUAGAUCAGGUGCUAUCCACCUGUAGAGCAUGUGUGUGCGUUUACCUGACAGGGUGUGGCUUAAAGACGGCGUGUCCCGUAGGGUCAGUGUUGUUC
ensembl:lncRNA